AGAGUUUGAUCCUGGCUCAGGAUUAACGCUGGCGGCAUGCCUAAUACAUGCAAGUCGAACGAGAGUAGCAAUACUCUAGUGGCGAACGGGUGAGUAACACGUAGGAAACCUGCCUCAAAGUCGAGGAUAACUACUGGAAACGGUAGCUAAAACUGGAUAGGAUAUAUUAAGGCAUCUUGAUAUAUUUAAAAGUCCUUCUGGGAAUGCUUUGAGAUGGUCCUGCGGCGCAUUAGCUAGUUGGUGAGGUAGUAGCUUACCAAGGCGACGAUGCGUAGCUGAGCUGAGAGGCCAAACAGCCACACUGGGACUGAGACACGGCCCAGACUCCUACGGGAGGCAGCAGUAGGGAAUUUUCGGCAAUGGGGGAAACCCUGACCGAGCAAUGCCGCGUGAAUGAUGAAAUUCUUCGGAAUGUAAAAUUCUGUUGUGAGGGAAGAAAGGUAGUAUCAGGAAAUGGGUAUUACUUGACGGUACCUUACUAGAAAGCCCCGGCUAACUAUGUGCCAGCAGCCGCGGUAAUACAUAGGGGGCGAGCGUUAUCCGGAAUUAUUGGGCGUAAAGCGUGCGUAGGUGGCCGUUUAAGUCUGUCGUGAAAGCCCACAGCUUAACUGUGGAGGGUCGAUGGAAACUGGAUGGCUUGAAUCUAGAAGAGGUAAGUGGAAUUCCAUGUGUAGCGGUAAAAUGCUUAGAUAUAUGGAGGAACACCAGUGGCGAAGGCGGCUUACUGGUCUAGCAUUGACGCUGAGGCACGAAAGCGUAGGUAGCAAACAGGAUUAGAUACCCUGGUAGUCUACGCUGUAAACGAUGAGCACUAAGUGUCGGACGUAAGUUCGGUGCUGUAGUUAACGCAUUAAGUGCUCCGCCUGGGGAGUACGGUCGCAAGACUGAAACUCAAAGGAAUUGACGGGGACUCGCACAAGCGGUGGAGCAUGUGGUUUAAUUCGACGCAACGCGAAAAACCUUACCAGGCCUUGACAUCCCUAUGACCGCUCUAGAGAUAGAGUUUCCUCUUCGGAGGUAUAGGUGACAGGUGGUGCAUGGUUGUCGUCAGCUCGUGUCGUGAGAUGUUGGGUUAAGU
rnacentral:rRNA from 1 species